AUGCUCACUUGGGCAGCACAUACACUAAAAUUGGAAUGACACAGAGAUUAGCAUGGCCCCUGCAUGAGGAUGACAUACAAACCAAUGUACACCAUCAUAAAACU
ensembl:snRNA U6 U6 spliceosomal RNA